rnacentral:ncRNA from 1 species
UAAUUGGAGAGUUUGAUCCUGGCUCAGAUUGAACGCUGGCGGCAUGCCUAACACAUGCAAGUCGCACGCGAAAGGGGGCAACCCUGAGUAGAGUGGCGGACGGGUGAGUAAUACGUAGGAAUCUACCUGGUAGUGGGGGACAACCCGGCGAAAGCCGGGCUAAUACCGCAUACGACCUAUGGGUGAAAGCGGGGGAUCGCAAGACCUCGCGCUAUCAGAUGAGCCUGCGUCGGAUUAGCUAGUUGGUAGGGUAAAGGCCUACCAAGGCGACGAUCCGUAGCUGGUCUGAGAGGACGACCAGCCACAUUGGGACUGAGACACGGCCCAAACUCC